rnacentral:tRNA from 1 species
GGGGUUAGGGGUAGAGCACUCCACUGGAAAUGGAGUGGUUCCGGGUUCGAUACCCGGACCA